rnacentral:rRNA from 1 species
UGAGUAACACGUGGGCAACCUGCCCUCAGCUCUGGGAUAACUCCAAGAAAUUGGGGGCUAAUACCGGAUAUGACCGCUGACCGCAUGGUACUGGUGGUGGAAACGAUUUUAUCGGGCUGGGGAUGGGCCCGCGGGCCUAUCAGCUUGUUGUGGGGUAGUGGCCUACCCAAGGCGACGACGGGUAGCCGGCCUGAGAGGGUGACCGGCCACACUGGGACUGAGACACGGCCCAGACUCCUACGGGAGGCAGCAGGGGGGAAUAUUGCGCAAUGGGCGGAAGCCUGACGCCAGCGACGCCGCGUGGGGGAUGACGGCCUUCGGGUUGUAAACCUCUUUCAGCAGGGACGAAGCGAAAGUGACGGUACCUGCAGAAGAAGCCACCGGCCAACUACGUGCCAGCCGCCGC